rnacentral:rRNA from 1 species
AUUGAACGCUGGCGGCAGGCUUAACACAUGCAAGUCGAGCGGGGUGAUGGUGCUUGCACUAUCACUUAGCGGCGGACGGGUGAGUAAUGCUUAGGAAUCUGCCUAUUAGUGGGGGACAACAUCUCGAAAGGGAUGCUAAUACCGCAUACGUCCUACGGGAGAAAGCAGGGGAUCACUUGUGACCUUGCGCUAAUAGAUGAGCCUAAGUCGGAUUAGCUAGUUGGUGGGGUAAAGGCCUACCAAGGCGACGAUCUGUAGUGGGUCUGAGAGGAUGGUCCGCCACACUGGGACUGAGACACGGCCCAGACUCCUACGGGAGGCAGCAGUGGGGAAUAUUGGACAAUGGGGGGAACCCUGAUCCAGCCAUGCCGCGUGUGUGAAGAAGGCCUUAUGGUUGUAAAGCACUUUAAGCGAGGAGGGGGCUCUUUUGGUUAAUACCCAAGAUGAGUGGACGUUACUCGCAGAAUAAGCACCGGCUAACUCUGUGCCAGCCGCCGCAGUAA